UGUGGGGCAGAGGGCAGCCUGAGCAUCUGCAAACAGAGUGGCUCACAGAGAGGACACCUGCCCUGAGGACACCUGCAGGAGAUCCCUACAGAGGAAGGGCUAGACCAGGCUCCAUCCAGCAAAUACAAACUCAUCUGGAAGCAUUAAAACAAUGGAAGCAGGGCCUGCUGUGCGCCAGCUGCUGGAGACAUGAAGACAUCGAAGACCCCAGGCCUUGACCUCCAAGAGCCCCCAGUUUGGUGGAAGAAACAAACAAGGAGACUGCAAAACACACCCUGUGAUGGGGAGGGUUGAGGUGGCCAGUGGGAGAGGCGAGCUGGCAGGGCUCAGUGGUGAGGUGAAGGUGUGGGAGCAGGGACACAGCAUGAAGGAGUAGAUGGCCAGGUUGAGCUUUGCAGGCUCCAGGGGGAGGAUAAAGAGCUGACACCUGGAACGUGCUUGGAACAGCAGGUGCUCGGUCAGUGCAGCCACGACCAUCCCGUCCUGCAUCCCCACCAUGAACUUGGACCUUCUGGAAGGACCUUGCUUAUCCCAGCAUCCACACAUCCUUGACCAGACCUGGUCAACAUUUGCUUAGAACCGCCUGGCUGCUGGGAUGAGAAGAGACUGGAGAGAGACCACGAUGGAAGCCAGGAGGCCAACGAGGAGUUGGGGUAGUCCUCCAGGGAGACAUGAUGUGGCUUCAGCCCCAGUGGUGAUGGCGGGGUAGAGCCAGCAGGGUUCUGAACUGAGUGGAUGUGAAAUGAGGGAAAGAGGGAUGCUGCGGUCGGCAGAAUCGUGCCUCCCGCAAAGAUGCCCCAUCCUAACCCGUCACCCUUGACAGUGAGACCUCCACCACAAAGGGGACUUUGCAGGCAUGAAGGUUAAGGACCCUGAGAGGAGGAGAUGGCCCUGGACUGUCUGGCGGGCCCAGCAUCAUCACAAGGGUGCUUAUAAGUGGAGGAGGAGGCAGGGGGAGCCGAGCAGAUGUGAGGAUAGAAGCAGAGGUCGGAGGGACGUGCUGUUGGCUUGAGAUGGAGGAGGACCUAUGAGCCAAGGAGCAUGGGCGGCCUCUGGAAGCCAGAAAGGGCAAGGCCUCUUCCCGGAGCCUCCAGCAGAACCCAGCCCCGCUGCCACCUCGACUGCAGAACGGUGACACCGUGUCCGAUUCCCGACCUCCAGAACCGUGAGAUAACACGUGUGCUGUUUUAAGCCACUGCAAUUGUGGUAUUUGUCACAGCAGCCAUAGGAAACUGUACGGGGGUUAAAGAGGACCUGCUGACCUCUGAGCUCACACUGAAGCCUCCUGGAAUGCUGUGGGUUGUGAGCUGGGAUGAGAACGCAGCAUGGAGAUGAAAGACGCAUCCACCCAGGAAGGCCCACUGGCAUCGCAAUCUCAGGGAAGAUUCCCAGGCUGAAAAAAGAGAAAGUGGCUGGGGUGGCACUGAAUGCCCCACGUCAAAGAAAUGGCACCCAAGCCGUCCGUCAGUCCCUCACCUGCCACACAGACAGCACCUUGGACCCAGCAAGAUGUCACUCACCACAUUGAUGCUGUCCACAGGCAUCGCCUUGCUUUUGCAGCUCUGUGUGAGAUUUGUCAGCUUGGUUUGGGUCUGGGGCUGUAUUAGAGCUGUCAGCCUAGGAGCCUACCCUAGUUUUGUGUCUGCACUAUUUCCAAAGCACUGGAAUAAAAGGCAUUUUAACCAACACCAGGAA
ensembl:lncRNA LINC01488 long intergenic non-protein coding RNA 1488